UCAACAGUUACUUGAAUUGGAAUUGUGUAAAUUCCCUGCAAUCCUCAAACUGAAGUGAAAAGGAUAGUACUGAAUAGGAUUGAAGUGUGUCUGGUAUACCCCAAAUACCCCGCAGGAAGGAUCGUUCCUUUGCUUUAAGGAGUUCUCCUCUAACUGCUGAAAACUUKAUGGUUUCUGUGGACCAGAUCGUCCUGAAUGGCACUCUUACCUUCAACGAUGCCCUGGUAAUGAUGUUUGUGGCAUAUUAUUGCUUUAACAUAAAUUACCCCUCUGACCUGGCAGCAACAUUGGAGUUCCUGCAGAGAACCACACCAYUCCCUUGUUGGACAACAGAAAUGUGCCUAUUCAAGAUCAACCCAGACAAGGGGUCCAAAGUGGAGAAGAACUUAAGAAAGCAGCAUGCAAUCAGUCCAAAAGUUAUUUCUCUGAUCUCAAAGAUUGCAAACUAUGAAUGGAGGGAGUAGCCUUGCGCACGCACACAUACAGGCACUUAAAUUCACCGACUGCAGCGCGCAGUCAAGAAACAUGCAGAUGAUAAAAAACACGACAAAAAUGUUAAAACUGAAUGUGUUUACAUUAGCAUGUUGUAAGUUGCUUUUAAGUGAAUGUUUGACACAGUAUAUGUAAAAGUUUGAGUUCAAGAAAUGUUUUUGCARRAGGAUCGACAUACCUUGUCCUAUAAACAUCUCCCAAUUCUUUAUUUUCCCAACCAAUGCCAGCAAAAAAAAGAGGAUUCCAGGUAAAAAUAGGAGUUAAUGUCGUAAAAUUGCAGUAAUAAUUCCAGAGUAAUUCCAGAGACUGACAUAACAUAUUCAGUAAACGGAAGACAUUUUGUUUAUGACGAUGAAAUACAAAUUCAAUAAAAAUGCCAAGAGUGAUGAGAGUUAAAGUCUA